UGAUUAAUUUAAUGGCCGCAGUAUUUUGACUGUGCAAAGGUAGCAUAAUCAUUAGUUUUUUAAUUAAGAACUAGAAUGAAGGGUUGGACGAGAAAAUUUCUGUCUCAAUUUUAAUUUAUAGAAUUUUAUUUUUAAGUUAAAAAGCUUAAAUGUUAUUAAAAGACGAGAAGACCCUAUAGAAUUUUAUAUAAUAUAUUUUUUAUAUUAUUUUAGAAUCUUUUUAUUUUAUAAAUUAAUUAUAUUUUGUUGGGGUGAUUGAAAAAUUUAAUAAACUUUUUUUUUAAUAUUUCAUUACUAAGUGUUUAUUUGAUCCAUGGUUAGUGAUUAAAAGAAUAAAUUACCUUAGGGAUAACAGCGUAAUUUUUUUGGAGAGUUCAAAUCGAUAGAAAAGAUUGCGACCUCGAUGUUGGAUUAAAAUUUAUUUUUGGUGUAGAAGCUAAAAAAUUUAGGUCUGUUCGACCUUUGAAAUUUUACAUGAUCUGAGUUUAAACCGGUGUGAGCCAGGUUGGUUUCUAUCUUUAAUUUAUUAUAAUUUUUUAGUACGAAAGGACCAAAUAUUAGUAAUAUUUAUUAUUAAUAGAAUAAAAAUGUUACUUUGGCAGAUUAGUGCAAUAAAUUUAGAAUUUAAGAAUGUAUGUUUUUAUACAAGUAAUACUUGUAUUUUAUAGAUUUUAUUUUGUUAUUAAUUAGAGGAUUAAUUUUAAUUGUUUGUGUUUUAGUGGGGGUU
rnacentral:rRNA from 1 species